rnacentral:lncRNA from 1 species
CACUAGCCCUCGGGAAGUGUCAGGGGAUGUGACUGGGCGUCCAGGCCAACCAAGUACCGCCCCCGCGGGCUGCCCUCCAGGAAGGAGGAGGAGGGACAGGGCAACAACAGGGCUCUGCCCCUCCUCCCGCCCAGCACCCCAGCGGCCCAGCUCCAGCCUGCCGGGAGCCCCUAUCUGGAAGAAAAUCACGGCUCCACAGCGAACCCAAGGUGAGGAAAAAACUCAUCGGCGUGGGUGGGCAAUGCCCCUCACCCUCCCUGACAUCCCCAUUGGUCUUGGCUCCUUCGUAGCUGAAGCAUCCGUCCAGGGCUAACGAUGUCUUAUGCAAGGACAUGGAAGUGACCGGAUGGGUGCCUUGCAGUGAGCGGAGAAUGCUGCCAGCAGUGUGGAGAGAACAGGAAGGAAGAGGGAACUGUUUCCCCGCCCCUUCCCUCAAAGGACGCCAGGGGUCUGCUCUUCCACGAGCUCGAGACAUCCAUUCCUCUUGUGUGGAAGGAACCAGAAUCAGAAUCAGGAGAGGAACAAACAAACUGAAGGCGGCUGUCAGCACAGUGAUUGAUGACGCGGCCAACCCGGCUUCUGUGGCUCUCGAUGUCCCGACGCUUGUUACAACCAGGCAAAGCCGCGCUGGACCAAGCACCUGUCACUCCGGCGACUGCACCACCCGGCCACCCUCCCCUUCGUCCGAGUGAACUUUCAGCGGAGAAGUAAACGGGGGCGGGGGGCCCACGUUACUGAGGCCUGAUGACAUUCCGUUCGGGUUAGUUCCAUAAUGAGGUCAAAGUCCUGCCAAACAGUGUCCUUAAGUGGCAGAGUGUGGAGAGGCCACGGCAGACGUGCGUGUGCGGGAGGGAACCAGGCAGGCGGGAGCCCGGGCUCCGUCUGUGUGGGUUUGCUGCCGAGACACGUGCGUCUGUGCCGUGCGUGUGCGUGUGUGACCGCGCGUGCCUGCGGGUGCACCGAGGGCCGCUCGGGUCCCGGGCGCGCAGGGAGGCGCCUCGGGGAGAGUGACAGACAGAGCAUUAAGGCAGACCUCGCGGG